rnacentral:rRNA from 1 species
GAGUUUGAUCCUGGCUCAGGACGAACGCUGGCGGUGCGCUUAAUGCAUGCAAGUCGAACGGUGAAAUUCCGGCUUGUCGGGAUGGAUCAGUGGCGGACGGCUGAGUAACGCGUAAGCAACCUACCCUUGAGUGGGGAAUAACUCCGGGAAACCGGAGCUAAUACCGCAUGAGAUUACCGAUCACAUGGUCGGUUCUGAAAGCUGCGGCUUGCCGUGGCGCUCGGGGAUGGGCUUGCGUCCUAUCAGGUUGUUGGUGGGGUAACGGCCCACCAAGCCUAUGACGGGUAGCUGGUCUGAGAGGACGAUCAGCCAGAGGGGGACUGAGACACGGCCCCCACUCCUACGGGAGGCAGCAGCAGGGAAUCUUGCGCAAUGGGCGAAAGCCUGACGCAGCUACACCGCGUGGAGGAAGAAGGCCUUCGGGUCGUAAACUCCUUUUCUGGGGGAAGAGAGAGGACGGUACCCCAGGAAUAAGCCUCGGCUAACUACGUGCCAGCAGCCGCGGUAAUACGUAUGAGGCGAGCGUUGUCCGGAUUUACUGGGCGUAAAGAGGGUGUAGGCGGUCCAGGUAGUCCUUGGUGAAAUCUCCCAGCUCAACUGGGAGGGGUCUGAGGAUACUCUUGGACUUGAGGGCAGUAGAGGAGAGUGGAAUUCCCGGUGGAGUGGUGAAAUGCGUAGAUAUCGGGAGGAACACCCGUGGCGAAAGCGGCUCUCUGGGCUGUACCUGACGCUAAGGCCCGAAAGCGUGGGGAGCAAACCGGAUUAGAUACCCUGGUAGUC